GCUCUCUCCAUAAGGGGCCUUCCUGGGGGCAGGCGAGAACUUGCCAGGGGCCUUAGUGCUAUGGGGUGGGAAGGAGAACGCCAGCUGCUCAGGACUUGACAUUCUGAAAACUGCCUACUUGUGCCUGAAGAACCAAGUAUUACAGAGUGAAGAGGGGGAGAAGUACCAGGUGCAAGACCAUCUGAGAGUCAGAAAUCAUUGAAAUCUCACAUUUGCAUUUUGUGCUUGGCUCUAGGAAAAGACACCCCUAAAAUGAUGGUAAAGAAGUGAAAAAGAGUGCAAAGACAAUGGAAAUGGGAGAUAUCAGCAAACAAGCACAUGUUUUUGGAAGACAGGUGAGGAGUGAUUGCUGACUGGGCAGAGUGGAGGAAACAGUGAUCUAUGUGUCUACAGAAAGGAGUUUGGAUGCAAAGUGAGUAUAUCUGCCUGGGAUAUAACCCUUGGGAGGCCUGGGAGCUGGAGGCGGGGGUAAUGUGAGGGGAGACUGCUUGAGAGUCUGAAGGUUUGUUUACUGGAGAAAUGGGUUAGAAGAGGAUCCAGACCAGGGGACAGGAGGCAUGGUGAAGUGAUGGGGUGAUGGGCAGGCUAAACAGAGAGGAUGGACUGAGGGUGGCCACUCUCAUGGUGUGAUGCCCUUGGGCCUCUGCCUCCAUCUGCUCUUAGAGCACCCUCCAGGCAGGAAAGGGGAGAAUUCCUCUCUGAAAAAAACAGAGAGGAAUUCUUUUAAGAAAAUGCCUCCACAUGCUGGCAACUGAAAAUUCUCUAAAGAAAUUAUGAGUUCACAAUGUAAUCCCCCUUUACAAUGGGCCACCAGUAAAAAGCUCCACUAAAACACCCUGAACCUCCAAGCCGCUUGUAGUGCCUCACUCUUAAAUAUGAAUGGCCAAGGAUCACCAGACAUUUAAAGAAAGCACCCACCUGAAAGAGACUGAGACACAAUGACCAGGAAUAGAGGAAUAUGGAAGCUCCACAAUGAGUAGAAGAGAACUUCAAAAACACUUAUUAAUGUCCUCAGAGAGAGAA